AGUUUUCUGAGUACAGGUCUUUUGCCUCCUUUGUAGGUUUAUUCCUAGAGAUGUACAGCAAAGGGAAGUCUACCCAACAUUCUGCAAAAACCAGCUCCCCAGCAGCCUGUGCUCUCUUGGCUGUGACAGUCAGAGCCCUGGUUUGGGUGUAAGUGAUAGCACCUGGUGCUGGUGCGUGGUGAGCACCCUAAAAUGCAUCUUUAUCAUGCCACUUUUCUACUCCAAAACAUUCAGUGACUUCCUAUUGCCUUUUUGUUAUUUUAAACAAAGUUUAAAGAAAAUAGUACAUUUAUCUAUCACUGAAUCUUAUUUAUUGAUGAAUAUUACUUCUCUCCUAGGUCUUACUAAAGACAUGUGGUAUCCUUUUAAUAUUAUUAUUAACCUGAACAACUUUACAGGAAAGAAGGUAGUAAACAGUAAACUAUAUUUAUGUCACUCCAAACCUUUGAACUAUGAAAUCACUAAAUGUUAGCACUGAGAAUGGCCUUGAAAUCAGUUGAGAUCAACUCCUUCAUUUCAUAGGUGAGGAAACUGAGAACAAGCAGAUAAAUUGCUCAGAUAUGGAUACCCAGCCAAGGGAAGGCCCUGUCACAACUAGAACUCAGCUCUUCUAUUCUCUCUUUCUUUCCACUACACUACAUUAUACGUAUAUUUACAUAUAUACAUUAUACAUAUAUUUCUACAUGGUUUAAUCAGUAUACAUGCUAUUUUGUGUCUCUUCUAUUUAUAUUACUCCAGGUACACAUUUCCACGUAUUGACAUUAAGCUAGGUUCUUGUCAUUUUUGGUAGCUACACGGCAUUCCAUCAUAUCCGUAUAGGCUAUGGUCCUUUAUAAACCAUCAUUUUGAGUUGCAUAAGAAAGAAAACUAGCCUACACUAAUACUUUGUGUUAACUGUUUUCAAUAAUAAAAUAAUAUCUGCUGCUGCUUUGUAAAUUAAGUUUGAAAAAAUCAUAUAUUCUUAAUCUGGUUUACUCAUAUUUUCUUUUCUAAAACCGGGCCUGCUCAUUUUGUGUGUUUUCUAAGUGCCAUUUGUAUUUAAGUUUUUUAAAGUAUGCAACUAGGUCAAGGUAUAAAUAAUAUGAAGUAUGAAAUUAUUUUGCAUUGAAAACUGCAAAACCCACUUACUACUGAUUCAAAAUAUGUACAUAUUUAUGUUCCUGAUCAUUCUUUGUAAUUCAUCUCUUUGAUCAUGGCUAUUCUGCAUUUGAAUAUAUAAAAAGGGCUUUGAAACGUAUUAUUCUUUUCCGCCUUCCAUCUGAAAAACAGAGGGAAAGAGUCUUAAACAAAGGUGAAUACCUCCAAAGUUCAUUCAAUACUUCUCAAAACGUCUCAAGAUUUAUGUCUUUGGGAAAAUUAAGCUGUAAUCUAAUGAUCAUUUUGUGGUGUUUCAGUAUCUUACUUUUCUUGAAAUUCAUUACUAUAAGAAAAAGCAGAUUUAAAAAAUUUUUUCUAGUUCAUAUUUGAAUUAGGUAUUGAAUGGACUGCUUUGCAUCCAGAGAAAACUUUAAAGAGCAACACACUCAUAAAUUGAGCUUUUUAAUCAUUGUUAUUUUUGUAGUUCCUUCAUUUCAACAUUUGAAAAUCACUAACCAUGGAUGCUGUGUAGAACUAGGAGUAGAUCCCUUGCUCUAGGAAAAGCCACCUACCAUGGAUGCAAGGACCCCUGAAGACAGACCUAUGUGAAAAGAUUCUGAGGUCUCCUGCCAGCAGCCAGCACCAACUUGCCAUCCAUGUGAGUGAGCCACCUUAGAAGCAGAUCUGGUAGCCUCAGAAACUGUAACAGAUAAUAAAUAGUUGUUGCUUUAAACUGCUAAGUUUCAGAAUAAUAUGUUACACAGAAAUAGAUAUCUAAUAUAGAUGUUGCUACCUGGAAGUGAGAUUCAGCCAUAACAAAAUCCUAAGAUGCAUAAGUAACUUUGGAACUGGACAACAGACUUUGGGGAGAGUGUUAGUGAAAGCCUAAAGUACCUUGAAGAAACUGUUAAUAGAAGUAUCCCACUCUUUUAUAUGGCUACAGGUGAAGGCUCGCAGAAAAAUGAGGUAAUGUAAUUGGAAACUGGAGGAAAGGCAAUCCUUCUUAUAUAGUGGCAGAAAGUUCAGUAACACUGUUCCCUGCAGUAACCAAAAGGUAGAAAAUGUGUCUAAUGAAUUGGGUGAUCUAGCUAGGGAGAUUUCCAAGCAAAGGUUUCUUCUUGUUGCUUGUAGUAAAAUGUGAGAGGAGAGAGGUAAACUAAAGGAAGAACUGUUAACAGUUUAAACAAAAAGGAGACAGAAUUUGAUGGUUUUGAAAAUUCUCACCUUCUCUGAAUGGCAAACAAUGCUAAAAUUAAGAUGUAGCUUCUGAGCUACAAAUCCAGGGCACUGCUAGUAAAACAUGGUCCUAAGAUGAAGCCAAGGGAGUGAUUGUAAAAUCUUUUGUUACAGUCUCAGAAAGAUUUAAGGUUGUGCAUCAGAAUACUAUUUGGCCAGACAAAAAGUCCUCUAAAGAGAUUAAAGGUAUGUGUCACACAGUCUCUCAAUAAAAUGAUGAAGCACCUAGGAAGCUUAAGGACAUUGUCCAUCAGUUAUCUCACCAGAAGCCCAAGGUAGAGAAGAGCUUAUCUGAAAGAUAUUUGUAGGUGUGGCUUUCAUCUAAUGGAGUGGACCCAAUAACAUUCAUGGAAGGCUCAUAACAUUUAAAAAAUAAAUAUGUAUGAAGAAACAUUGCCAUCUUGGACCAAAAGGGAUAGAGAUAGUACAAAACGAAAAGAGGUCUUUGGAUCCUCAAAGUUCCACUGGCAAGAAGUAGGCUGAGAAAAGUUCUCAGUGGUAAACAUGGACUAUCUUUCAUUAAAAAAAAAAAAAAAAAAAGGGAGAGAGGGAGGAUGACUCAGGGGUCAGAUCCAAAACUCCAGAACAUGGAGCUGAGAGCCAGGGAGAAUUAUUCCCAGGAUUUGAGACUUAAUAAAGGAAUGUUCAACAUUUGUUCAGCUGGUUUUCAGAAUUAUAAUGGACCAGUGAUUCCUUUGUGCCCACCAUUUUCCCUCUUUUUGAACAGUUACCCUGUUACACCUGUCUCACCAUGGUGUGUUGGGUGUAUGGAGGGGCACAUAAGUUGUUGUUUUAGUUUCACAGAGGGAGAGGAACUGUACUCAAGGGGCUGUACUUAAGGAACUACACCCAAGGAGCCUCAGAUGUACCUGGACCUGAUUUAGAGGAUGAGAUGUUGGACUUUAAGCUAACGCUAUAAUGAGAUGAGACUUUUGGUGACUUCGGGAGGAAAUGAGUGUAUUUUGCAUGUGGGAGGGACAUGAAUCAUUGGAGACCAGAGGAUGGACUGUGGUAGCCAGCCUUCAAGAUAGCCCUUAAUUAUCCUUCCCUCCUCGUAUUCACACCCUUUUGUAGGCCCCUCCCACACUCUAUCACAGUUGGUCUGUGUGACCAAAAUGAUAUAGCAGAAAUGAUGGUAAGUUACUUCUGAGAAUAGGUUAUUAAAAAAACUGCACCUUC